CUAAUACCGCAUACGAUCUACGGAUGAAAGCGGGGGAUCGCAAGACCUCGUGCUCAUAGAGCGGCCGAUAUCUGAUUAGCUAGUUGGUGAGGUAAAGGCUCACCAAGGCUUCGAUCAGUAGCUGGUCUGAGAGGACGACCAGCCACACUGGGACUGAGACACGGCCCAGACUCCUACGGGAGGCAGCAGUGGGGAAUUUUGGACAAUGGGGGCAACCCUGAUCCAGCAAUGCCGCGUGAGUGAAGAAGGCCUUCGGGUUGUAAAGCUCUUUUGUCAGGGAAGAAACGGGAUGUCCUAAUACGAUGUCCUAAUGACGGUACCUGAAGAAUAAGCACCGGCUAACUACGUGCCAGCAGCCGCGGUAAUACGUAGGGUGCAAGCGUUAAUCGGAAUUACUGGGCGUAAAGCGUGCGCAGGCGGUUAUGUAAGACAGGUGUGAAAUCCCCGGGCUUAACCUGGGAAUGGCAUUUGUGACUGCAUAGCUAGAGUGUGUCAGAGGGGGGUAGAAUUCCACGUGUAGCAGUGAAAUGCGUAGAGAUGUGGAGGAAUACCGAUGGCGAAGGCAGCCCCCUGGGAUAACACUGACGCUCAUGC
rnacentral:rRNA from 1 species